rnacentral:rRNA from 1 species
CAGCCGUAAACUAUGCGCGUUAGGUGUACUGGUGACCACGAGUCACCGGGGUGCCGAAGGGAAACCGUGAAACGUGCCGCCUGGGAAGUACGGUCGCAAGGCUGAAACUUAAAGGAAUUGGCGGGGGGAGGCACCACAACGGGUGGAGCCUGCGGUUUAAUUUGGACUCAACGCCGGAAAUCUCACCGGAUAGGACAGACAUAUGAUAGUCGGGCUGAAGACUCUACUUGAUGAUCUGAGAGGUGGUGCAUGGCGUCAGUGACU